GUAGCACUCACGGUGGGCGGUGAGCCCUGUUACUUCCCAACGGGAGUCUUGCGAGCUCCUCCUUGCGAGCCUGACGGAGGGCGAGAAACAAGCAAGGUUGGAUCCCGACGGACUGUAACAAGAGAUCUUUGGACCACCAUCCAAAGCUGCUUUGCCAACUCCUCAGAAAGUUUCUGCAUAUCCCCAAAGUGCACUUCAUGAAUGACUAUCAGGAGAGAAGAGUUGAGAAGACUAUUUAAAUAAAAUCAAAGAGGCCAUCCAUUACAGGGCUAAAAAAUAAAAUUACUUAAAAGCAGAAAAGUACUGCAAGGAAUUCACCCCAAUUCAAGACAAAAUGAAAUGUGUAUCAAAAAGGCUGAGAAAAGGUCAGGAGGAAUUCCAUUUUUGUUAUCUUUAUAGUACCCAUUGUAUUGCAUUAAUCUUAUUGAAUUUUGCAAACAUUUGCUGCUGUGCAGAGGUGCAAGGAAGAAGUGCCUCAGAUGGAUAAUUUCUAUAUGCCUGAGUUGGUUUCCAUGACUGCACUGCCUGAUUCUGAAGCAAGGCCUGAACGCAGCCGAAUCUGAACUUCAGGUAGUUUAUGCUCAUGCUUGUAACAUUAACUGAAAUCCUUGAGACCCCUAAAUGUUGUGUGAGAUAGCCUGCCAUUAAAUCUUUGACUGGA